UACGGGGGGGGCAAGCGUUGUUCGGAAUUACUGGGCGUAAAGGGCUGGUAGGCGGCCAACUAAGUCGGAUGUGAAAUCCCCAGGCUUAACCUGGGAACUGCAUCCGAUACUGGUCGGCUUGAAUCCGGGAGAGGGAUGCAGAAUUCCAGGUGUAGCGGUGAAAUGCGUAGAUAUCUGGAGGAAUACCGGUGGCGAAGGCGGCAUCCUGGACCGGCAUUGACACUGAACAGCGAAAGCUAGGGGAGCAAACGGG
rnacentral:rRNA from 1 species